AGCUUUGUGCAGUGGCAGUAUUGUAGCCAAUGAGGUUUAUCUGAGGCACGAUUAUUGCUAAUUGAUUAAGGCACAGAUUAGUAAAGACAUAGCUCAUAGGGAAUUUCUUAAAUUCUUCUUUAUAUUCACAUACUUCAAAGUUAUCCUUUACUUAUUUUCAGAAGA
rnacentral:snRNA from 1 species